rnacentral:rRNA from 1 species
GACGAACGCUGGCGGCGUGCUUAACACAUGCAAGUCGAGCGGUAAGGCCCUUUCGGGGGUACACGAGCGGCGAACGGGUGAGUAACACGUGGGUGACCUGCCCUCAGCUCUGGGAUAAGCCUGGGAAACUGGGUCUAAUACUGGAUAUGACUCCACGGUGCAUGUCGUGGGGUGGAAAGCCUUGUGCGGCUGAGGAUGGGCCCGCGGCCUAUCAGCUUGUUGGUGGGGUGAGGCCUACCAAGGCGACGACGGGUAGCCGGCCUGAGAGGGCGACCGGCCACACUGGGACUGAGACACGGCCCAGACUCCUACGGGAGGCAGCAGUGGGGAAUCUUGGACAAUGGGCGAAAGCCUGACGCAGCGACGCCGCGUGAGGGAUGACGGCCU